rnacentral:rRNA from 1 species
UACGAAGGGGGCUAGCGUUGCUCGGAUUGACUGGGCGUAAAGGGCGCGUAGGCGGUUCGUACAGUCAGACGUGAAAUUCCUGGGCUCAACCUGGGGGCUGCGUUUGAUACGUGCGGACUUGAGUGCGGAAGAGGGUCGUGGAAUUCCCAGUGUAGAGGUGAAAUUCGUAGAUAUUGGGAAGAACACCGGUGGCGAAGGCGGCGACCUGGUCCUUAUACUGACGCUGAGGCGCGAAAGCGUGGGGAGCAAACAGG